rnacentral:rRNA from 1 species
CGCGUAGGCGGCCGAGCGGGUCACGGGUGAAAUCCUCCAGCUUAACUGGAGAACUGCCCUUGAUACCACUGCGGCUCGAGGAAGGAAGGGGCAAUCGGAACUGUCGGUGGAGCGGUGAAAUGCGUUGAUAUCGACAGGAACGCCGGUGGCGAAAGCGGAUUGCUGGUCCUUUUCUGACGCUGAGGCGCGAAAGCCAGGGGAGCAAACG